rnacentral:rRNA from 1 species
CCUACGGGAGGCAGCAGUGGGGAAUAUUGCACAAUGGGGGAAACCCUGAUGCAGCGACGCCGCGUGAGUGAAGAAGUAUUUCGGUACGUAAAGCUCUAUCAGCAGGGAAGAAAAUGACGGUACCUGACUAAGAAGCCCCGGCUAACUACGUGCCAGCAGCCGCGGUAAUACGUAGGGGGCAAGCGUGAUCCGGAUUUACUGGGUGUUAAGGGCGUGUAGGCGGGUAAGCAAGUCAGAUGUGAAAACCAUGGGCUCAAACUGUGGCCUGCAUUUGAAACUGUUUUUCUUGAGUACUGGAGAGGCAGACGGAAUUACUAGUGUAGCGGUGAAAUGCGUAGAUAUUAGGAGGAACACCAGUGGCGAAGGCGGUCUGCUGGACAGCAACUGACGCUGAGGCGCGAAAGCGUGGGGAGCAAACAGGAUUAGAUACCCGUGUAGUC